rnacentral:rRNA from 1 species
CCAUCUGGAAGAAUCUGGAGACAGGUGCUGCAUGGCUGUCGCAGCUCGUGUCGUGAGAUGUUGGGUUAAGUCCCGCAACGAGCGCAACCCUUGCCUUUAGUUGCCAGCAGUUCGGCUGGGCACUCUAAAGGGACUGCCGGUGUUAAACCGGAGGAAGGUGGGGAUGACGUCAAGUCCUCAUGGCCUUUAUGACCAGGGCUACACACGUACUACAAUGGCCGAUACAAAGGGCAGCGACACUGCGAGGUGAAGCCAAUCCCGUAAAAUCGGUCUCAGUCCGGAUUGGAGUCUGCAACUCGACUCCAUGGAGCUGGAAUCGCUAGUAAUCGCGCAUCAGCCAUGGCGCGGUGAAUACGUUCCCGGGCCUU